GUCCUUAAUAAUUUCAGUUCCUUUGAUGUUUUUUUAACUGCUUUUUAUUACAACUAUUACAUCUUGAUUGGGGUCAUAACUAAUGAUCAAUAGCACACAGAACAUUUUGCAACAGUUUUUUAUAAUAGAUAAAAAAAAAACAAGUCUGCAGUAUAUUGCCAUUAUAUUUGUUAUUUUUACUUUUUUGAUACAAAACAUUUCAUGGCAAGAUUUAAUCUGUUGAUUUAUGAAACAUUGACUGCAUAAAAUAACCACAUGACAUGAUGAUAUACAUCUUGCUUCUAUGCAUUUUAUUAAAUUAUUUGAUUUACUGAAAAUAUAGAAAUUAGAUUUUGAAAAUGAAGAUUGAUAUGUCUAAUAAGUUCAAACAUUUUUACAUGGAUCAAUUGUCAUUUUACUUUAGGGAAUUGAUAAUGUUAAAUAAUAUGUUACCUAAAGUAAAUGUGGAAAUCACGAGUCUUUCAUCUCCUUUGCAAAUAUAAAUUGCAAAGUGGUUGUAUGCAAUGUGAAGACCUCCCCACCCUGUUAUCAAAGUUGUUGCCCUUCCCUUCUGUCAUUCAAGAUAAGAAACUAACUUUAGUAUCAUUUGUUUUGAAACAAUAGAAAUAAAAAUUAAAAUCUGACAACCAUGUGAGCAUGUGUACCACAGUGUUUAGUGAGAUUUUUUUGCUAGGUGCUAAUUUUGGUUGUUUUUAUUGAUGAAUAAAAUCCUCUAAAACAAAAACCACAUGCUUUAAGCUGAUUAUAUACUUGGUAUUUAUCAAACUUCUAGGAAUGAAAACUAUAAACUGUAUACAACAGAUCAAUGUUUGGUCAUACUGAUUUAACCCCUAGUAACAGAAAAAGCUGAUAUGUAAAUUGGUGAUAUUCUAUAGUCCAGACUUUUAGGCAGUAUGGUCAACAAUAUAAUCCUUGGGUAUGAUUACAUAUCAAAACAAAAAACAAAACAAACAAACAAAUAAUUUAUUAGAGUCUCACCUCUUUAAUUCAUUUGAUAUACAACACAAUAUAAUAUUAACAAUUUUUAAGAGAGACACUCUAAAAAGAGUUACGAGAGACUGUAAAAACACAGAUUAAAAUACAUUUAUAUUACAUCUAUUACAUACAUCAAUAUAUCUUAGCAUAAAACACCAUACUGUUAAAAACAAUUAUACAAAAGAAAACAAACAACAUUAUAAACACUUAUUACAGGUAUAAAAUACAAUUUCUCUUAAAAAGUACUAUCAAAUGAAUUAAAACCAAUAGGUGCUAAUUGGCUAACUAACUUAAAGUAAUUGUGUAAAUUAUGAAUUUACAAAAAAGUUAAAGCCUUUUACAUUUAUGUUUACUUUUAUCUUCCUACUGACAAAUUUUACACAUAAACAAUCUCUUUACACUAUAGAAAUAUAUUAAAGACACAUUUCAUUGAAAGGUGCUUGUAUGCAGGAAAAGAUAUCCCCUUUAUGUGCUCUUUGUAUUUGUUUUAAUUUUGCCAGGUUUUGUUUUAUAAAUCUUUAGUUAUUUUUUUGUAAUUAACUGUGAU
rnacentral:lncRNA from 1 species